rnacentral:misc_RNA from 1 species
GAUGAAGAACGCAGCGAAAUGCGAUACGUAGUGUGAAUUGCAGAAUUCAGUGAAUCAUCGAAUCUUUGAACGCACAUUGCACCUCUCGGUAUUCCGGGAGGUAUGCCUGUUCGAGCGUCAUUUGUACCCUCAAGCUCUGCUUGGUGUUGGGUGUUUGUUCCGCCUCUGUGUGUGAACUCGCCUCAAAACAAUUGGCAGCCGGCGUACUUGUUUCGGAGCGCAACACAUUUUGCGAUCCAGAUCAACGUACAGCGGCAUCCAAGAAGCCUUAUUUAACGCUCUUGACCUCGGAUCAGGUAGGGAUACCCGCUGAACUUAAGCAUAUCAUAAGCGGAGGA